rnacentral:rRNA from 1 species
GACGAACGCUGGCGGCGUGCUUAACACAUGCAAGUCGAACGGAAAGGCCCUGCUUUUGUGGGGUGCUCGAGUGGCGAACGGGUGAGUAACACGUGAGUAACCUGCCCUUGACUUUGGGAUAACUUCAGGAAACUGGGGCUAAUACCGGAUAGGAGCUCCUGCUGCAUGGUGGGGGUUGGAAAGUUUCGGCGGUUGGGGAUGGACUCGCGGCUUAUCAGCUUGUUGGUGGGGUAGUGGCUUACCAAGGCUUUGACGGGUAGCCGGCCUGAGAGGGUGACCGGCCACAUUGGGACGGGGAUACGGCCCAGACUCCUACGGGAGGCAGCAGUGGGGAAUAUUGCACAAUGGGCGGAAGCCUGAUGCAGCAACGCCGCGUGCGGGAUGACGGCCUUCGGGUUGUAAACCGCUUUCGCCUGUGACGAGGCGUGAGUGACGGUAAUGGGUAAAGAAGCACCGGCUAACUACGUG